CGCCGAACCGCGGAGAAGCCGCUGGCAGGCACCACUCCGCCGUCGUGCCGCUGGGACUACAACUCCCGGCGUGCCCCGGGGCAGCGGCGCACGGAGCGCGCUGAUUGGCCCGCGGGGGCAGCGCAGUGCGGGCGCCCCCACGUGGCGGCUCGGCGGGGCCGCGACCCCCGGGAUAACCCGGGACAAACCGGGACAAGCCGGGACAAACGGAAACAGCUCGGCUUCCUCUCGCUCCUGUGCCACGGACCUCGCCCGCCCUACCCUGAGGGACCCUGCGCUGAGUCUGGUGGCUGGGAACGGGGCCAGAUCACAGUGAGCAGGAGGAGCUCUGGGACGCCGCAGGGAGAUUCCUGCCUUUCCAGGCAGCCUCUGGCAGGCAGGUGAGGUGGAAGUGUCACUUGGAAAGGUGCUGGGAGCUUCUUCAGUGACCAACUUCAAACAGUGCCCUGCUUGUUGACUGUAAUCUUAGUGCUGGAACACGAUGGGAAUGUUAACAAAGUUCCUGGAAUCUCCAUGGAGAGAGCUGUAAAGGACAGCAUCCCUGACAGAGCAACUGAAUUAAAAUUUCAGCUGAUCAACCUUUCAGUUAUUCCCUGAUUUAUGGUAUAACACAAGUUUUUGCAGGUGAAAUAAAGAUGUUUUUUAAAUGAAUAAUGACGUUCUG
rnacentral:lncRNA from 1 species